ACUAUUUUCUGCAUUCGCCCUUGCGUGUCCAUUGUUGCAAGGAGCGAUUUGGAGAAAAUAAA
rfam:Human herpesvirus 4 complete wild type genome